rnacentral:rRNA from 1 species
CAAAAGCUUGGUCCUGACUUUGUUAACAGCUCU